UACGUAGGUGACUAGCGUUGUCCGGAUUUACUGGGCGUAAAGAGCGCGCAGGCGGUCGUUCAAGUCGAGUGUGAAAGCCCCCGGCUCAACUGGGGAGGGUCACUUGAUACUGAUCGACUCGAAGGCAGGAGAGGGAAGCGGAAUUCCCGGUGUAGUGGUGAAAUGCGUAGAUAUCUGGAGGAACACCGGUGGCGAAGGCGGCAUCCUGGACCAAUUCUGACACUGAGGAGCGAAAGCCAGGGGAGCAAACGGG
rnacentral:rRNA from 1 species